ACCUGACAGAGCAUCUGUUUUUGGAAGUUCUGCAGAAGAUAGUUUCUUAAACGUGUGGGAUCAUGAGAACGUGGGGAAGAAGAAAAAUUCUAAUGUCCCAGCCGGGCUUUUCUUUCAGCAUGCUGGUCAUAGGGAUAAGAUUGUAGACUUCCACUGAAAUUCGUCAGAUCCUUGGACAAUUGUCAGUGUCUCUGAUGAUGGCGAGAGCACUGGUGGAGGUGGAACACUGCAGAUUUGGCGCAUGAGUGAUUUGAUCUACCGCCCAGAGGAUGAAGUUCUUGCAGAGCUGGAGAAUUUCAAGGCUCACUUGGCCAGUUGUGCACCGAAGAAUUGAGUCAUGUGGGUUACCUGCGGAAUACAAUCCUGUGGAAACUGAGUAGGUGAUGUAGUUUCCUGGCCAUAAGUAUGAGCUCCAGUUGACAUUGAAUCUGUCCUCUGAUGCUCCUAGAGUUGUACCCUUGAGGGGCUUGUGCUUUUGUGUUCUUGGUCGCAGGUUUAUUGAUAUGGCAGAAUCCUUGUGCCAGAAACGUGCUUUGGAGGCUUUCCGUUUGGACCCGACGAAGUGGGGAG